rnacentral:miRNA from 1 species
UGUGACUUGUUGGUAGAAGUGUGUCACUGGGGAUGGGCUUUGAGGUUUCAGAAGUUCAAGCCAGGCCAAGAGUCACUCUCUCUUCCUUAUGUCUGCUGAUCC